rnacentral:rRNA from 1 species
AUUGAACGCUGGCGGAAUGCCUUACACAUGCAAGUCGAACGGUAGAGGGGGCAACCCCUCGAGAGUGGCGAACGGGUGAGUAAUAUAUCGGAACGUGCCCAGUCGUGGGGGAUAACGUAGCGAAAGUUACGCUAAUACCGCAUACGAUCUAAGGAUGAAAGCGGGGGAUCGCAAGACCUCGCGCGAUUGGAGAGGCCGAUAUCAGAUUAGGUAGUUGGUGGGGUAAAGGCUCACCAAGCCAACGAUCUGUAGCUGGUCUGAGAGGACGACCAGCCACACUGGAACUGAGACACGGUCCAGACUCCUACGGGAGGCAGCAGUGGGGAAUUUUGGACAAUGGACGCAAGUCUGAUCCAGCCACUCCGCGUGCAGGAUGAAGGCCCUCGGGUUGUAAACUGCUUUUGUACGGAACGAAAAGGUCUCUCUUAAUACGGGGGGCUCAUGACGGUACCGUAAGAAUAAGCACCGGCUAACUACGUGCCAGCCGCCGCAGUAA